UGCGUAGACGGUUAUGUAAGUCGGGUGUGAAAGCCCUGGGCUCAACCUGGGAAUUGCAUUCGAAACUGCAUAGCUAGGGUGCGGAAGAGGGAAGCGGAACUUCCGGUGUAGCGGUGAAAUGCGUAGAUAUCGGAAAGAACACCAGUGGCGAAAGCGGCUUCCUGGUCCAGCACCGACGUUCAGGCACGAAAGCGUGGGGAGCAAACAGGAUUAGAUACCCUGGUAGUCCACGCCAUAAACGAUGAGAACUAGACGUUGAGAGGGUAAGCCUCACAGUGUCGUAGCUAACGCGCUAAGUUCUCCGCCGUGGGGAGUACGGCCGCAAGGUUGAA
rnacentral:rRNA from 1 species